rnacentral:lncRNA from 1 species
UCUUCCUCCACUAAGCUGGACAACUUUUAAUGGAGUCAAUCCUGACCUGACCAGAGGAACUGGACAAUGUUCAUAUGAACCUGAAGACUAUUGUGGAAGGUUCUUUCCAUCAAUCAAAUUAGUCCAGAGGGAAAAAAAUCUACACAUCCCAAGAAGUGAACGAUUCCAGUUACCUUGUUCCUUUGCUUCUUUGUGCCUUACCCUCUUUCUUUCCCAUUUUUUCUUUAGUACUACUCCUCUGAAUUCUUUGACCUGUUUUCAUGAACAAUGGGCAUCUAAUGAUGUUUAAAUGCCAGUGUACACAGAGAUGAUUAUGAUGUUCAACAUACAAGUCUUGUUUUCCCCUAGAUCCCAUUUGGGGGUGGUACUUUUGAAAAGGAUUAAUAAUUAGGAUGGCAGUGAGAAAUGGGGUCAUAAUUUAAAGAAGGGGGAAAUGAGCUCAAGGAGAUGAGCUAAGGAGUCUUGGUAAGUGUUCCUUAUAUUCAGUAUACUCUUAACUAAUAGCUCUUAACUGUAGUUCAACAGGUUCCUAGCAACCCAAUUUUGCUGAAUCCUUUAGUUCAUUUUCUCAACUAUUUUCUAAUUUUCUAAUUAUUUGGCUAUUUUCUCAAAGCUGCCUCCCUUACCUCCUGGUCCCAUUUUGUAAAAACAAAUAAACAAACAAACAAACAAAAACCCUACUUAUCC